rnacentral:rRNA from 1 species
AGGGUGCGAGCGUUGUCCGGAUUUAUUGGGCGUAAAGAGCUUGUAGGCGGUUUGUCACGUCGGGAGUGAAAACUCGGGGCUUAACCCCGAGCCUGCUUCCGAUACGGGCUGACUUGAGGAAGGUAGGGGAGAAUGGAAUUCCUGGUGAAGCGGUGGAAUGCGUAGAUAUCAGGAGGAACACCAGUGGCGAAGGCGGUUCUCUGGACCUUUCCUGACGCUGAGAAGCGAAAGCGUGGGGAGCAA